GACGAACGCUGGCGGCGUGCCUAAUACAUGCAAGUAGAACGCACAGUUUAUACCGUAGCUUGCUACACCAUAGACGGGGAGUUGCGAACGGGUGAGUAACGCGUAGGUAACCUGCCUGGUAGCGGGGGGUAACUAUUGGACACGAUAGCUAAUAUCGCAUAAUAUUCAUUAUUGCAUGAUAAUUGAUUGAAAUAUGCAAAUGCAUCACUACCAGCUGGACCUUCGUUGUAUUAGCUAGUAGGUGAGGUAACGGCUCACCUAGGCGACGAAGCAUAGCCGACCUGGAGGGGGGGUCGGCCACCCUGGGACUGAGACACGGCCCAGACUCCUACGGGAGGCAGCAGUAAGGAAUCCUCGGCAAUUGACGAAAGGCUGACCGAGCAACGCCGCGUGAGUGAAGAAGGUUUUCGGAUCGUAAAGAUCUGUUGUUAGAGGAGAACGGGUUUGGGAGUGGAAAAUUCACGCUGUGACGGUACCUAACCAGAAAGCGACGGCUAACUACGUG
rnacentral:rRNA from 1 species